rnacentral:lncRNA from 1 species
UUCUCGUGCCUACUAGACAUUCUCGUUAGAUCUACUAGACAUACUUGUUUGGUGCUACUAAGUUUUUGGCCAUUGGAUUAAGAGAUGUAUGGUUAGGAUGAUGUGGGCCCCCUAGGGUUGAGUGGGUUGUUGGUUGAAUAGUAUGAUCUAACGGGUAAAAAUGAUCAAAAUGGUAGAUCUAACGGCGGAAAACUUGGUAGCACCAAGUGCUUCGUGCUAUUAAUAGCAUAGUAGCCGGACUCUAUAUAUAUAUAUAUAUAUAUAUAUAUAUAUAUAUAUUGAGAAAACAGGAAUAUACUCUAUUUGUACAGCGCAUUUGGAGUGAUAUAUGAAAUUUCAAAAAUUAAAUUUCGCUCAGUUUAUUU